GGAUUAGGCAUGCAAGUCGGACGGUAGGGCUUUAUCGUAAGAUAGAGUUUGAGAGUGGCGAACGGGUGAGUAACACGUAGGAAUCUACCCUUAAGACGGGGACAACCCAGGGAAACUUGGGCUAAUACCGGAUGAGAGUGCGAGAGAUUGCAUUUAAAAGGAUGGCGAAAGUUGUCGCUUAGGGAUGAGCCUGCGGUCUAUUAGUUAGUUGGUGAGGUAAGAGCUCACCAAGGCGAUGAUAGAUAGGCGGCCUUAACGGGUGGUCGCCCACACUGGGAUUGAGAUACGGCCCAGACUCCUACGGGAGGCAGCAGUCGAGAAUAGUCUACAAUGGCCGGAAGGCUGAUAGUGCGACGCCGCGUGAACGAGGGAGCCCUUCGGGGUGUAAAGUUCUUUUCUAUACGAGCAGUGCUAUAUAUAUGGAUAGUAUAUAUAGAGGGAUAGUAGUAUAGGAAUAAGCAACGGCUAACUCCGUGCCAGCAGCCGCGGUAACAUGGGGGUUGCGAGCGUUGUCCGGAAUUACUAGGCGUAAAGGGCAGGUAGGCGGAUCUACGAGUUUUUUGUUAAAGGCUACGGCUCAACUGUAGUAGAGCAGGAGAUACUGUAGGUCUGGAAUGCGGUAGGGGAAGACAGAAUUCCUGGUGUAGCGGUGGAAUGCGCAGAGAUCAGGAGGAAUACCGAAGGCGAAGGCAGUCUUCUAGGCCGUAAUUGACGCUUAACUGCGAAGGUGUGGGGAUCAAACAGGAUUAGAUACCCUGGUAGUCCACACAGUAAACGAUAAUCACUAGAUGUCGGGUUCUAGAUGGAUUCGGUGUCGGAGCCAACGCGAUAAGUGAUUCGCCUGGGGAGUACGAUCGCAAGGUUGAAACUCAAAGGAAUUGACGG
rnacentral:rRNA from 1 species